ensembl:lncRNA
GGGAAAGAAAGCUGCAGGCCCAGACUCAUCCCAUAACCGAGCUCCUGAGGGAGUUGAGGGGAGUCCCCACUUCAGCUCUGCUUCCUCUUAUCAGCCCACAGGACAGAAGAAGGAAAACUCACCUGCACACGGACCCGCCUCCUGCCUGUCCUCCUGGGAAGGUUCAGUCCUUUAGGUCUGCCCACAGAAUGACAAAGAUCUGCCCACAUUUCACAACAUUUCCCGAAUGAGCUCUUCUUAAAUUCACUAAAAUUUCAGGAUUCUGUUACUUAAUACUGUGCAGAUAGAAAGUUUUGUCCGCCGAGACUACUAGGAUGGAAAAGAAAAGAAGAAAUGCCUUUCCUAUUCCUACCAACCUCCAGAUCCUCAACUUUCACUUCAUCCAGCUGCCACUGGUCGGAAUGCACACAAGCAGCCCCUUGUCUCCUGCCACCAUGCAGCUCUUCUAAGCGACAGAAGCCCAGGAACACAGAGGCCCUGGGCCCAGGCCAGCUGGAGCCAUGCUAAACAGGCUGAAAAGCAAGCAGUUCUGACAUCCCUUCAUCAAACGCUGUUCACUCUGGAGAAGCGAUAAACAAUUUUGCACACACUGAUCACGCUUCUUUCUGUAUAAGAGCAAGUUCAGGAAUAAGACCUGAACCAGGGAACCCGAACCUGCACCCUGAAACAGCCUCCUGAUUUUUAUAACCCCAGAAGCAAAACCAUCACCACAUCCAGGUCAAUGUACCAUGGAACCCAAGCCCUUGCCCUCUUCCCAAGUGAGCCGGCAAACAGCCAACAGCCUGGCAUCACACUGGUUACCAGCCAGCAUGGCCCUGCCAGGCUGGACGGAGGCAGCAAUUACACGUGCUUGGUGUUUGGAAGCUCUUCUGGAAAAGCAGCCCUACCAGGCUUCAUGCCAUCUUCAGGAGGGUCAAACCCCAACUUGUGAACACCCCGCAGUGGGAGUCCCAGGAGAACUUCUGUUCCAACCAGGCCUCCAGACCAGUGGUCCCAUGGCAACAGGGACCCCCAUCUCAGCCCAGAAUAGGGUGCAGCCCACGUCAGCCCCCACAGCAGAACUCAUCAGGGCGACUCUCUGAGUGUCCUGAAGGUCGCCCACUGUCAGGAGCCCCCGCUGCCCAGCCAGAGCCACUGGUCACAACACACAAGUCCCUGGAGGGUGCUGUGUGGCAGCAAUGCCAGAUUUAACACUGCGGUCACUCAUUCCCUGAGACCUUUUUUUAAGUGCAAGUGAGAAUGCACAUGAGGGCACCUCAAAUAUUCAAAGAGUUAAACAAUCUAAGGGUGUCGGAAGAGUCACCACUUGGUAUGCUGCCCACAUCUGAGGACUGAGCUUUAGGGGGUAUAACUUGAAGGGGUCCCCAUUGUCUUUGGGGAGGCAGGGUGAUGUGGACCCCGGAGCCGCAACCUGGACCAAGUUACACGAGCUUCUACUGCUCAUUUCCCUCAUCAGUAGCCUGGGGCUAACAACAGAUCUCUUGGUAUCACCAUGGAACAUGAUGUGGCAAAAAGGAAGUCAUCUGCUAGCAUGGUGAUGGGCAUAUAAUAAACCACAAAUUAAUGCUCGUUUCCUUCUUCAAUGUUUUUAGAGAACUUCCGUUUGUAUCACGUAUUCCUUUUUUUUUCCCAUUUUAUUAAUUGCUUACAAUCUUCUUUCAAAAUUAACAACCCACAUAUAUUCAUAUUUUCCUUACGAAUGUGUGCAGAAAAGAAUAUCAAGAUAUAUGUCCAAAGAUGAUCCCUCCAGCAUUAAUUGUGAUCUUCAAAAAAAAGUAAUAUCUGCUCACUAGAAUGGAGAAUCCCAGGGACGGGGGAGCCUGGUGGGCUGCCGUCUAUGGGGUUGCACAGAGUCAGACACGACUGAAGUGACUUAGCAGCAGCAGCAGCAGAAUUCAAUUACAGCACUUGGAAUAAACGAGACAGUUCAGUGAGUGCUAAUAAGAGGAAAGUACUUUAAGGUAUGGGUUUUCCUGGUGGCUCAGAAGGUAAAGAAUCUGCCUGCAACACAGGAG